CGAGCACGCGCGUGUGGCAUAUCAAUAAGCGGAGGAAAAGAAACUAACAAGGAUUCCCUUAGUAACGGCGAGUGAAGCGGGAAGAGCUCAAAUUUGAAAUCUUCAAGGUUCUACCUUGACGAAUUGUAGUUUAUAGAAGUGUUUUCUGUUAGUAGGAGUGGCAAAAGUUCUUUGGAAUAGGACAUCAUAGAGGGUGAGAAUCCCGUAUUUGGUCAUUCCUUCCUAGCUUUGUGAUACACUUUCAACGAGUCGGAUUGUUUGGGAAUGCAGUCCAAAAUGGGUGAUAAAUUUCAUCUAAAGCUAAAUAUUGGCGAGAGACCGAUAGCGAACAAGUACCGUGAGGGAAAGAUGAAAAGAACUUUGAAAAGAGAGUUAAACAGUACGUGAAAUUGUCAAAAGGGAAGCGUUUGACACCAGUGUUGUUUUUCCGAAAAUCAAUUACGAAUGUUUUGUUUUUAAGGAGUUAUGACUUCAUCGGCUUGCUUCUUUCUUUACGAAACUUUCUUAAUGCACUUUUCGGUUAACAAGUCAACAUCAAUUUCUUUUGUUGUAAAAGGGUAUGAGGAAGGUGGCUUUCUUUUCGGAGAAAGUGUUUAUAGCCUUGUGCCUCUGCAAUCGGAGAGAUUGAGGUCUGCAGCGUAGAUCCUUCGGGGUUAGAUACGUUUGUGCUAAGUUAUAGCUUUUCAUAGACAACUUGUUGACUAUGUUUAGUCUUGUAGCUUACUCGCUGACGCUAUCUUACCUACGCUUAGGAUGUUGAACUCUAUCACACACAG
rnacentral:rRNA from 1 species